CUGUAAGUACAGUGCCUGCGGACCGGGGAGGGAGAUCUCUGAUCUCCUCCCCGGUCCGCAGGCACAUUGCAG